UACGUAGGUGGCAAGCGUUGUCCGGAUUUAUUGGGUUUAAAGGGUGCGUAGGCGGCCCUGUAAGUCAGUGCUGAAAUAUCCCGGCUUAACCGGGAGGGUGGCAUUGAUACUGCAGGGCUUGAGUACAGAUGAAGUAGGCGGAAUUGACGGUGUAGCGGUGAAAUGCAUAGAUAUCGUCAAGAACACCGAUAGCGAAGGCAGCUUACUAGCUGUAACUGACGCUGAGGCACGAAAAGUGUGGGGAUCAAACAGG
rnacentral:rRNA from 1 species